AACGUCAUACAUGUGGUUCUGCCG
rnacentral:siRNA from 1 species